UUAAAAAUAUUAUUGAAAUACAUACGUUCUAAGAUAAAUUUAAAUAGAGAAUUAAUUAUAUAUAAUUCAGUAAAAAAAUAUAUAGAAAAUAUUAUUAAAAGUGCUCCGAGAACCGAUAAUUCGUUCGCAUCUCUAUUCUAGUGGCUAAAUCGUUUUAACCUUGCCGUUAAAGUUAAAAACAAAUGCUUAUAUCAAGAAAGCAUUAAUAUUACAAAAAAGAAAAAAAAUUAAUGGCAAAAGGAGAUGAAUGAAGAAUUGUGUGAUAUUGGAGGCCAAACGUACAUAUAUUAAAUAUGAGACAUGUAUAUGUACACAUACAUAUACAUAUGAUAUAACGACCGAAAGUAGCAUUCAAAAUCCAUGGCUUAGAGAGUGUGCAAACAAAGACCCUGUCAAAUAAUAAUUAAUAGGUAGAAUGUGACCAUGAAAGAGAGGUGUUUUUGUUUCCUGUCUCACCAGAAAAACGGACCAAAGAGUAAGUUGAAAAGGGCCUUUCACCGGCCAUCCACAUCCCAACAAAGUUACUCAGUGCACAGAAUAAAAUGCCCUUCUCACUCUUCCUAUAUCAACCCUUCUGAUAUGGGCCCCUUUCCUUACAAUUCUCCUCUUCUUCACUCUCUCUCUCCACUCCAUUUUUAAAGAGAGUAAGAAGAACAAGAAAUAGAAAGGGAAAGAAAAGAGAAGAAAAAAGAAUCAAAGAAGAAUUAGUACUGGUGGGGCUAUCUGGGUUUAAAAGCACAAUCAGAAAUGGCUCAAGAGGACAAGCACUUCUCAUCUUUCUCAACCACCCAUUUGGGCCAUUUUCUUCUAAAUUAUAUCUGAUGACCAUUUUACCCUUUGCUCCAAUGGGUUAGUCUACUGACAUCCUCUUGCAAAUUAUAGGGUCAUUUUAGUGCAAUUGCAUUAAUGGGUGUGUGUGUGUUGUGAAGAGCACUACUACUACAAUGUAAACUCUCCUUUUCUUUCUCUCUCGCAAGUCUAAACUACAUAUAACCAAAAAAACAAAGUCUAAACAACUACAGCAACAACAAGAACAUUCCUUCUUAGGAUAGAUAAAGGCAGACAGGAUGGAGCCAGGCAUUUGUAGCUACAAUUCUCUACUUAAUAAGUUCAGUUUCUUUCUUGUGUUAGCCUCCUCUUUUUGGUUAUAUCUCAUAAUUUCCUGAGAUUGUUAUAGAGAAAGAGGAGAGCAAGAAAAAGAAAAAAACAUAAACAAAAAAGAAAGAAGAAGAAGAAGAAAAAAGAAAAAGAAGUAUUAUCAUCAACAAUUUGUCAGUAUCAUGGAUUCAUACAGCAUCUGAAGAUUCAGAGCUAUAUUCUCUUUUGCUUUCUUUAGAGGAGGAAACUGUAAGGAUAGAGAAGAUUAAUUAUGUAAUAAAUAUUUCUCUCUCGUCUAAUUGUUUUCCGUUGUUCAUGAAAUUGCACUUCUAUUUUUGCUUUUAUCUUCAUCUCAUGUAUUAAAUUGACUUGAUCUUUAUGCUCAAUAUAUAUAAAAUAACUUAAUUUGAUUA